UACAGGGGGGGCAAGCGUUGUUCGGAAUUACUGGGCGUAAAGGGUUCGUAGGUGGCCACUUAAGUCAGACGUGAAAUCCCUCAGCUUAACUGGGGAACUGCGUCUGAUACUGGAUGGCUUGAGUGCAGGAGAGGAAUGCGGAAUUCCAGGUGUAGCGGUGAAAUGCGUAGAUAUCGGAAGGAACACCUGUUGCGAAGGCGGCUCUCUGGACUCAAACUGACGCUGAGGCACGAAAGCGUGGGUAGCGAACAGG
rnacentral:rRNA from 1 species